UACCGGUGGCGAAGGCGGGUUUCUGGUCGAUGAUUGACGCCGAGAUACGAAAGUGUGGGGAGCAAACAGGAUUAGAUGCCCUGGUAGUCCACACCAUAAACGAUGUACACUAGGUGUUGGGGCAAGAGCUUCAGUGCCGAAGCAAACGUGAUAAGUGUACCGCCUGGGGAGUAUGCCGGCAACGGU
rnacentral:rRNA from 1 species